AGUUUGAUCCUGGCUCAGAAUGAACGUUGGCGGCGUGGAUUAGGCAUGCAAGUCGAACGGGCCGCAAGGCCAGUGGCGAAAGGGUGAGUAAGGCGACGGCAACCUACCCCGAGGUUGGGCAUAGCCGGGGGAAACUCCGGGUAAUUCCCAGCGAUGUGCGUCUCAGGCAUCUGAGACGCACCAAAGGUGCAAUUCCGCCUCGGGACGGGUCGUCGUGGUAUUAGGUAGUUGGUGGGGUCACGGCCCACCAAGCCGACGAUGCCUACCGGGCGUGCGAGCGUGGCCCGGCACACUGGGACUGAGACACUGCCCAGACUCCUACGGGAGGCUGCAGUCGAGAAUCUUCGGCAAUGGGCGCAAGCCUGACCGAGCGACGCCGCGUGGAGGAAGACGGCCCUUGGGUUGUAAACUCCUGUCGAGGGGAAGGAAGGGUCGGCGAAGAGCCGAUCUUGACCGCUCCCUGGAGGAAGCACGGGCUAAGUUCGUGCCAGCAGCCGCGGUAAGACGAACCGCGCAAACGUUAUUCGGAAUCACUGGGCUUAAAGGGCGCGUAGGCGGAACGGCGCGUCGGCGUUGAAAUCCCCCGGCUCAACCGGGGAAGCGGCGUCGAAACGGCCGUUCUGGAGGGGCGUAGAGGGACUCGGAACUUCCGGUGGAGCGGUGAUAUGCGUUGAGAUCGGAAGGAACGCCCGUGGCGAAAGCGGAGUCCUGGACGCUUACUGACGCUGAGGCGCGAAAGCCAGGGGAGCAAACGGGAUUAGAUACCCCGGUAGUCCUGGCUGUAAACGAUGGGCACUUGGCAGUGGGUUCGUCGAUGGGUCCACUGCCCGGAGGG
rnacentral:rRNA from 1 species